UACGUAGGGGGCAAGCGUUGUCCGGAUUUAUUGGGCGUAAAGAGCGUGUAGGCGGCCAUACAGGUCAGCUGUGAAAACUCGAGGCUCAACCUCGAGACGUCGGUUGAAACCGUAUGGCUAGAGUCCGGAAGAGGAGAUUGGAAUUCCCGGUGUAGCGGUGAAAUGCGCAGAUAUCGGGAAGAACACCCGUGGCGAAGGCGGCUCUCUGGGACGGUACUGACGCUGAGACGCGAAAGCGUGGGGAGCGAACAGG
rnacentral:rRNA from 1 species